UACGGGGGGGGCAAGCGUUGUUCGGAAUUACUGGGCGUAAAGGGCUCGUAGGCGGCCAACUAAGUCAGACGUGAAAUCCCCAGGCUCAACCUGGGAACUGCGUCUGAUACUGGAUGGCUUGAAUCCGGGAGAGGGAUGCAGAAUUCCAGGUGUAGCGGUGAAAUGCGUAGAUAUCAGGAGGAAUACCGGUGGCGAAGGCGGCCUUCUGGACGAUGACUGACGCUGAGACGCGAAAGCGUGGGGAGCAAACAGG
rnacentral:rRNA from 1 species